AACUGCCUGAUGGAGGGGGAUAACUACUGGAAACGGUAGCUAAUACCGCAUAACGUCGCAAGACCAAAGAGGGGGACCUUCGGGCCUCUUGCCAUCGGAUGUGCCCAGAUGGGAUUAGCUAGUAGGUGGGGUAACGGCUCACCUAGGCGACGAUCCCUAGCUGGUCUGAGAGGAUGACCAGCCACACUGGAACUGAGACACGGUCCAGACUCCUACGGGAGGCAGCAGUGGGGAAUAUUGCACAAUGGGCGCAAGCCUGAUGCAGCCAUGCCGCGUGUAUGAAGAAGGCCUUCGGGUUGUAAAGUACUUUCAGCGGGGAGGAAGGCGAUAAGGUUAAUAACCUCGUCGAUUGACGCUACCCGCAGAAGAAGCACCGCCUAACUCCGUGCCAGCAGCCGCGGUAAUACGGAGGGUGCAAGCGUUAAUCGCAAUUACUGAGCGUAAAGCGCACGCACGCGGUCUGUCAAGUCGGAUCGUGAAAUCACCUGGCCUCAACCUGGGAACUGCAUUUCGAAACUGUCAGGCUAGAGUCCUCGUAGAGGGGCGUAGACUUCCCCGACGUAGCUGAUGAAAUGCGUAGAGAUCUGAAGGAAUACCCGCCGCAAAGGCCGCCCCCCUUGGACAUAGACUGACUCUCAGGAGUAAAGCCGGGUGCACCAAACAUGAUCAGAUCCUCUUGGUAGUUCACCC
rnacentral:rRNA from 1 species